UACGUAGGGUGCGAGCGUUGUCCGGAAUUAUUGGGCGUAAAGGGCUCGUAGGCGGUCUGUCACGUCAGGAGUGAAAACUCGGGGCUCAACCCCGAGCCUGCUUCUGAUACGGGCAGACUGGAGGUAUGCAGGGGAGAACGGAAUUCCUGGUGUAGCGGUGAAAUGCGCAGAUAUCAGGAGGAACACCGGUGGCGAAGGCGGUUCUCUGGGCCUGUACUGACGCUGAGGAGCGAAAGCGUGGGGAGCGAACAGG
rnacentral:rRNA from 1 species